rnacentral:rRNA from 1 species
CGCCGCGGUUAUACGAGAGGCCCGAGUCGAUAAAACCCGGCGUAAAGGGUGGUUAAGGAUUUUUAUAACUAGAGAGAAAUGCUCUUCAAGCUGUUAUACGCCCCCAAGAGUACGAAACCCAAGUACGAAAGAAACUCUAUUUUGCCUGAACCCACGACAGCUUUGGCA